rnacentral:rRNA from 1 species
GACGAACGCUGGCGGCGUGCUUAACACAUGCAAGUCGAACGAAGAGCGAUGGAAGCUUGCUUCUAUCAAUCUUAGUGGCGAACGGGUGAGUAACGCGUAAUCAACCUGCCCUUCAGAGGGGGACAACAGUUGGAAACGACUGCUAAUACCGCAUACGAUCUAACCUCGGCAUCGAGGAUAGAUGAAAGGUGGCCUCUACAUGUAAGCUAUCACUGAAGGAGGGGAUUGCGUCUGAUUAGCUAGUUGGAGGGGUAACGGCCCACCAAGGCGAUGAUCAGUAGCCGGUCUGAGAGGAUGAACGGCCACAUUGGGACUGAGACACGGCCCAGACUCCUACGGGAGGCAGCAGUGGGGAAUCUUCCGCAAUGGACGAAAGUCUGACGGAGCAACGCCGCGUGAGUGAUGACGGCCUUCGGGUUGUAAAGCUCUGUUAAUCGGGACGAAAGGCCUUCUUGCGAA